UACAGAGGGUGCGAGCGUUGUCCGGAAUUAUUGGGCGUAAGAGCUCGUAGGCGGUUUGUCGCGUCAUGCCGUGUGAAAACUCGGGCUUACUCGGCCUGCAGUGGUACGGGAGACUAGAGGUGCGGUAGGGGAGACUGGAAUUCCUGUGUAGGCGGUGAAAAUGCGCAGAUAUCAGGAGGAACACCGUGGCGAAGGCGACUAACUGGACAUGUAUUGACGCUGAGGUGCGAAAGCGUGGGGAGCAAACAGG
rnacentral:rRNA from 1 species